rnacentral:rRNA from 1 species
UAGGCGGUAAGAUAAGUGAGUGUUGAAAUUUCCUAGCUUAACUAGGGCACUGCCAUUGAUACUGUUUAACUUGAAUAGUAUGGAAGUAACUAGAAUAUGUAGUGUAGCGGUGAAAUGCUUAGAUAUUACAUGGAAUACCAAUUGCGAAGGCAGGUUACUACGUACUUAUUGACGCUGGUGAACGAAAGCGUGGGGAGCGAACAGGAUUAGAUACCCUGGUAGUCCACGCCGUAAACGAUGGAUACUAGCUGUUCGGUCUUCGGAUUGAGUGGCUAAGCGAAAGUGAUAAGUAUCCCACCUGGGGAGUACGUUCGCAAGAAUGAAACUCAAAGGAAUUGACGGGGGCCCGCACAAGCGGUGGAGCAUGUGGUUUAAUUCGAUGAUACGCGAGGAACCUUACCAGGGCUUAAAUGUAGAUUGACAGAUUUGGAAACAGAUUUUUCUUCGGACAAUUUACAAGGUGCUGCAUGGUUGUCGUCAGCUCGUGCCGUGAGGUGUCAGGUUAAGUCCUAUAACGAGCGCAACCCCUAUUGUUAGUUGCCAGCGAGUAAUGUCGGGAACUCUAGCAAGACUGCCGGUGCAAACCGUGAGGAAGGUGGGGAUGACGUCAAAUCAUCACGGCCCUUACGUCCUGGGCUACACACGUGCUACAAUGGCAAGUACAGAAAGCAGCUACCUGGCAACAGGAUGCGAAUCUCCAAAGCUUGUCUCAGUUCGGAUUGGAGUCUGCAACUCGACUCUAUGAAGCUGGAAUCGCUAGUAAUCGGAUAUCAGCCAUGAUCCGGUGAAUACGUUCCCGGGCCUUGUACACACCGCCCGUCAAGCCAUGGAAGCUGGGGGUACCUGAAGUCGGUGACCGCAAGGAGCUGCCUAGGGUAAAACUAGUAACUAGGGCUAAGUCGUAACAAGGUAGCCGUACCGGAAGGUGCGGCUGGAACACCUCCUUUCUA